AAACCAUGUACCUCCGUUUCUCCAGGAAAAAAUAGGUUGUCCUGUAUAUAACUCAGCAAGAAUACAACCAGCACCCCACAUACCUAGCAGUGCCAUAAGAAUUGGCACCAAGCAAGAGCUCAGGUGGGCGAUACCAAAUGGUAACUACACGAUUUGUAAGUGGGCGAAAUUGCUCUGGAUCGUAAUAGUUUGCUAAACCAAAGUCUGCUAUCUUUAAUUGUCCAUUGU